rnacentral:tRNA from 1 species
CAGGACGUGGGGGAGUCUGGCAAGUGAGCGUGUUCCGGAAACACGAGAUCGCUGGUUCAAAUCCAGCCGUCCUGACUA